CUAAAGUGGAUCAACUGUCGGCAACAUCCACUGCAAGAACUCGUUGAGAUCCAUAUUUAUAUGUCAGUUAAACUCUAGUAGCCUCACUAUGAGUAGUACUAUCAUCUCAGAUCAAAGGAUCAUUCACAUAACUACAGCAUCGAGAUAAUCACUGACGCUUGAAUAAAAAUUCUAGUGAUCUCUUGUAUGGUCACGCUCAAUACUAGUUAUUCUCUAA
rnacentral:lncRNA from 1 species